GCCCUCUCAGGAUCACACCUGGAGAGUUUCCAGUACUCCACCAGUCUCGACUACAGGAGGGAGAGUCAAGCAUGCCCAUUCCAUUCCUAGCUUGGGCAGUGGCUAAUGAGUGGAAGGCAAUCUGCUACAAGU